UGUUUACACGUGGCAUGCCCAAACUUAAGCUUACUAUCCUCUAUCGUCUUCUGGGUUUCUGGCCAACUCUUCCUCUACCCACCUCCUAGAAGCUUCUCCGACGGUUCUAUAUCGUAAUCAGAUUACGGAGAGGCUUCGGACUCUGAUCAGGUGCUACUCGAAUCCCAAUCCAGUAGAAGUUUUCUUCGACCUGCAGAGAGGAAUGACGCAGAAGAUGAGCCUCAUGCUAAAUGGGGAUUUU